UCUUAUGGCUAAGCAAAAAAAGUGGUUUCUUGAGAGGAAUCUACUCCUGGUGAAGAUGCUAUGAA
rnacentral:pre_miRNA from 1 species